rnacentral:lncRNA from 1 species
GUUUUAAUCUCCAUUGUCACGAGAGACUUUACAAUUGCAAUGAGUUGAUGGGAAGAGAAGAAGAAUCAAUAUAUGGGGGAGAAAUAACUCCUAAUGGUUGAUUCCCCGUAUUCAUACACAAAUUCUAGCCUUUGCUCUCUAUAAGAAGCUCUAAUCUUAUGGAUCUUCAGUGUGUAGCCAUAUGUCUUUUUUCCUUUGUCUUCUCCUCCUUUUAUAGGCAUAAUUUAACUUAAUUUUUAUGCAACAUCGCACUAAGCGCAACUGCUGCAUGGAGCGAGUGAGGCGGUGGUCAUGCGCUUAGUGUACGACUCGCGCUAAGCGCAUUUGACUUCUUUGCGCUGAGCGAGUGCUACUCGUUGAGCGACUGCGUUGCACUGAGCGUGUAUGACGCGCUUAGUGAAAGUCUUCAAAUCUUCAACUUCUCUUCCAAGUUUUCUUUUAUGUUUCUGUAACAAAUAUACCAUCAAAAGAGUUUAAAUUGACCAAUUUAACACUUAUUGGACAAAAUUUCAUAUGGUGUUAAAAACUCUAAUUAUUCGCAUAAAAAGAAACAAUAAAAAAAGAAAAAUCUAAUAAUUUUUAUAUCAUCUAAUCGUAAAAUAUAUCUAUGCGUAGCAUUUAUCACUUUACAACCAAGAAGGAUGAAAGAAAUAUUUUAUCUUUUUCUUUUCAUUUUCUCUUCUAUCAAAUAACUUACAAAAAUUAUUUCAUUUUCUACUCAUUUUUUCAUAUUUUCAUUUCACUUUAUUUCAUUAACCAAAUAAAACUGAGGCCGAAGACUAGUAAUUCAAUGGAAAUAAAAGGUUGGUAGGUGGUUAAGAAAAAAGAAAAUAAAAGAAAGGUCACAUGUUUUAGCUCUCCUACUAACAAAAAAUUAAAAAAUUAAUAAUUAAUAUUUAUUGAUAAAAAACUAUUUCUAUCAGCCAAGCAAAUUACAGUUUGGAUCCUUCAGUUGCUUGCACUAUAACUGAGUCUUGAGUUUAGAAGGCUUCCAUUCAACUAUCACAACAUCGAAAACCUUGCAGUACGUUCUUGUUCUCUGUGUCUUAUUAGAUGGAGUCUAUGAAGUUGGCUUCAGCUGCUCAAGUUGACUUCAUCGUAGCUCUUGAUAUUGUUGACUAAAUUUUCCUAGCAAUUCAAAAAUGGUAUCUGCAACGUGAUAACUGAGAAGUGUGAAGGAUACCAGCGCCAGCUAUAAAUAACCAUUCCAUCGCCUUGGAUUGAUUCUUUCAAAUGCAAUUCUUGCAUAUCUUUCCUUUUGUUGAUAUUUUCUUUUUCACAUUUUUU